CAGUAAUUUCCUUCCAAAUAAGUUCACAUGUAAUAAGUAGAAAUUCUGUACAGGAAAAAAGCAUUAAAAAUACUAUUAUAACUGCUUCAUUUGCUGGGAACCAUUACAAGUAGUAUAAAUUAGCUUUUUCCAGAAGGAUCCUCUUGUAGCAGGGUUUAUGAAUGUAACCCCCAGCAAAAUGUGACUAUAUAUUAGGAGAGCCAGUUUGGAGCAGAGGCCUGAAGGUCCCUGCUAUGCAGCCGUGGCCACAGCUCACAGCACCAGUGCUGUGGAGCAUCCACACCUUUGAUGGCAAUGCAGAGUGAUAGCAGGUUCCAUAGGUGUGACAAAACAGCAUUAAAGCUCAGUAUUUUGCAUAUUUUUAGCAUUUAAAAAUAUUUUUGCUUUAGUGUGAGGAAAGUAAGGAUGGGCAAAGAGGCGAUCAAAAUAGCUAUUGCUAUGACAUUUUAGAAAACAAAGUUGGGGCCGUAUUUCUUUAAAAAGAUAAGCCUCUAAAAAUGCUUGGCAAAAAAACUAUAGUGUUAAAAUAGGCCAGUGAUAUUAAUGAGAAAAUGAAAGUAUAUAUCAGGAAUAAAGUGAUAUUGCAUAGGAGUAUUGUAUUUUUAUGAAUUUUGUGCCAGUUGUUUACAUGUACUAUAUAUGUUAAAUAAAAAAAUCAUGAAAAAUGA
rnacentral:lncRNA from 1 species